CGGGACGGGUGAGUAAUGUCUGGGAAACUGCCUGAUGGAGGGGGAUAACUACUGGAAACGGUAGCUAAUACCGCAUAACGUCGCAAGACCAAAGAGGGGGACCGUUAGGGCCUCUUGCCAUCGGAUGUGCCCAGAUGGGAUUAGCUAGUAGGUGGGGUAACGGCUCACCUAGGCGACGAUCCCUAGCUGGUCUGAGAGGAUGACCAGCCACACUGGAACUGAGACACGGUCCAG
rnacentral:rRNA from 1 species